CGGACGGGUGAGUAAUGUCUGGGAAACUGCCUGAUGGAGGGGGAUAACUACUGGAAACGGUAGCUAAUACCGCAUAACGUCGCAAGACCAAAGAGGGGGACCUUAGGGCCUCUUGCCAUCGGAUGUGCCCAGAUGGGAUUAGCUAGUAGGUGGGGUAACGGCUCACCUAGGCGACGAUCCCUAGCUGGUCUGAGAGGAUGGCCAGCCACACUGGAACUGAGACACGGUCCAG
rnacentral:rRNA from 1 species